rnacentral:tRNA from 1 species
UUAAUUGAAGCCAAAAUAUUAAGAGGCACCUCAUUGUUAAUGAGAAUAAUGGUUAAUACCCAAUUAAA